rnacentral:lncRNA from 1 species
AUGCUGUCUGCUUACCUCUGUCCUGCUGGAUAUGCUCUCUGUUGCAGCUUCAGCACUUUGACCCAAAACAAUGCUAAAGUAUCUCUACUGGGAGCUUCUAGGGGCAUUGGGCAACCCCUUUCACUCCUCCUGAAGAACAGCCCCCUAGUCAACCUCCUGAUCCUCUGCCAUAUUGCUCACACACCUGGUGAGACAGUAGAUCUGAGUCACAAGACCAGAGCAAAUGUGAAAGGCAACUUUGGACCAGAGCAGCUGACAGAUUGCCUAAAAGGUUGUGAUGUGGUGGUCAUCCUAGCCGGAGUGCCCAGGAAGCCAGGAAUAACAGGGGGUGACCUGUACAACACCAACACUACUAUUUGGCCACCUUGGCAGAUGCCUGUGCCAAGCACUGCCCUGAUGUCAUGAUUUGCAUUAUUGCCAACAUAGUUAACUCCAUCAUCUCCAUCACAACAGAUCUUCGAUGUGGUAACCCUGGCCAUAGUCAGAGCAAACAUGUUUGUGGCAGAGCUAAAGGAUUUGGAUCCAACUCAAGUCAGUGUGCCUGUCACUGGUGGUCACAUCAGGAAGAUGAUAAUCCCCUGAUAUCUCAAGACUGGAGCCAAGACUGGAGCAGGUUCUGCCACUCUGUCCUCGGCUUAUGCUGGAGUCUGCUUUGUCCUCUUCCUCUUGGAAGCGAUAAAAGGGAAGGAAGGAGUCUUUGAGUAUUCUUUUGUUCAGUCCAAAGAGACAGAGUGUAAUUAUUUCUUAUUACCCUUGCUGUGGGGAAAAGGGCCUGGAGAAGAACAUGGGCAUUGGCAAAAUCAGUCCUUUUGAAGAGAAAAUGAUUGCUGAGGCCAUCCACCAAGUUGAAAGCCUCCAUCAAGAAAAGCAAGGACUUUGUCAAGAAUAUGAAGUGA